AGUUGAUGGGAAGGUUGAUCUGGAAAAUAUGACACUGAAAAUGAAAGAUUCUACAGAUAAUAAGAAAGUUUUUCAGAAUACAUUGCUAUCAGCUUUGAAGUCAUUCAAAAGAGGAAAGAUCGAUGUCAAUAACCUGAACACACUUCUGAGGAACAUGGGGAUCAAGCUCAAAAAUAAAGAAUUUAAAAGUGUAGUACAUCAACCUAUGGAUGGUGAGCAUUGUAAACAAUUAUUUUGCCUUUUAGAGAACUUAGAAUCUUGGGAUCCAUGUAUAAGAAUUUCUAAAACUAGGGCAGCCCCAGUGGUGCAGCGGUUUAGCGCCACCUGCAGCCCAGGGUGUGAUCCUGGAGACCUGGGAUCAAGUCCCACAUCGGGCUCCCUGCAAGGAGCCUGCUUCUCCUUCUGCCUGUGUCUCUGCCUCUUUGUGUGUCUCUCAUGA
rnacentral:lncRNA from 1 species